CGGAGGCAGCAGUAAGGAAUCUUGGACAAUGGGCGCAAGCCUGAUCCAGCAAUGCCGCGUGGGUGAAGACGGCCUGCGGGUUGUAAAGCCCUUUUGGCGGGGAAGAAAGCCCUGGGUUGAACAGGCUCAGGGGGUGACGUUACCCGCCGAAGAAGCACCGGCCAACUCCGUGCCAGCAGCCGCGGUAAUACGGAGGGUGCGAGCGUUAAUCGGAAUUACUGGGCGUAAAGCGCACGUAGGCGGUCGUUCAAGUCCGUUGUGAAAGCCCCGGGCUCAACCUGGGAAUGGCAAGGGCGACUGAGCGACUGGAGUGUAACAGAGGACCGUGGAAUUCCCGGUGUAGCGGUGAAAUGCGUAGAGAUCGGGAAGAACACCGAUGGCGAAGGCAGCGGUCUGGGUUAACACUGACGCUGAGGUGCGACAGCGUGGGGAGCAAACAGGAUUAGAAACCCCGGUAGUCCA
rnacentral:rRNA from 1 species